ACGCUCGACACCUACGGGAGCAGCAGUGGGGAAUAUUGCACAAUGGGGGAAACCCUGAUGCAGCAACGCCGCGUGAAGGAAGAAGGUUUUCGGAUCGUAAACUUCUAUCAAUAGGGAAGAAAGAAAUGACGGUACCUAAAUAAGAAGCCCCGGCUAACUACGUGCUAGCAGCCGCGGUAAUCUGAGCGGGCUGGCAAGGC
rnacentral:rRNA from 1 species